rnacentral:lncRNA from 1 species
CAUGAAGCACCAUCCUAAAGGGUCUCAGUCUUAGGAAGGUUGAGGAGCACUUGAAAGCACCCCGUUGCUCCGGGCUAGAGUUUCCAGCACCAAGACACUGGAAGCGGAGUGCACCCGCUGUUCUUACCCAACACAGGAUAUAAACAGAGGCAAGAUUGUUUUCUCAUUUAAAGAUACCGGGCUCUUAUUAACUACUAAUCUCUCUCCAUCCCUCAGAAUCAAGCCGACGUUACUCAAGCGAGUCAUCCAGAGAGGCGAGCCAUGAGUGUCAGAGUCUGUCUAACGGCAGGGAUCAGCUGUGGUGUGACUACUCUGAGACUAUUCUAUUGCUUUGUGGACGUCUCAGAGGUAAACCCCGAGGGCCAAAGACAGAGAGCUCUGACUUGGAGUUAUUGAUGACGAACACAGAGCCCUCCAAUAAUCAACUGAGAGGGGAAGCUUGGGCCGGUCUGUCUGAAGGGAGCCAGUUACUACUUAUGACCCUGGACUCACUUGAAGAAUACUACCUAGGGUCAAGGUCUACAGUUUCACUUAACACUGAGUGUUUUGCUGGAAACUUUCCUGUAGCGGUAAUUAGUUAACCAUUCCGUGCUCCUGAUAGGCUUCACCUGCCCAAGAGCUAUCUGGAUUCGAGAAUGAAACACACA